UUCACGGAGAGUUUGAUCCUGGCUCAGGACGAACGCUGGCGGCGCGCUUAACACAUGCAAGUCGAGCGAGAACCAGGCCUUCGGGCCUGGGGACAGCGGCGAACGGGUGAGUAACACGUGGGUAAUCAACCCUUGGUACCGGGAUAGCCCGGGGAAACCCGGAUUAAUACCGGAUGGCCCUUUGGAUCUUCGGAUCUGACGGAAAAGGUAGCUUCGGCCUCCGACCGAGGACGAGCCCGCGGCGGAUUAGCUUGUUGGUGGGGUAACGGCCUACCAAGGCGGCGAUCCGUAGCUGGUCUGAGAGGACGAUCAGCCACACUGGGACUGAGACACGGCCCAGACUCCUACGGGAGGCAGCAGUGGGGAAUCUUGCGCUAAUGCGGGAAACCGUGACGCAGCGACGCCGCGUGAGGGAA
rnacentral:rRNA from 1 species